UAUAAAAUUGAGCGAGAAUCUUGAAUUAUUAAUAAAGAAUGGUCUAAUGAAGCUUACCGUUGGAUACUGCACAAUAUGGAAGAAACAAAAGAUACAAGAAAUACAGGAACCACUGGAAGAGGAGGUACAGGAGAUAAAGGAACAACCUCAUGAUACAAAG